UACGAAGGGGGCUAGCGUUGCUCGGAAUCACUGGGCGUAAAGGGUGCGUAGGCGGGUUUUUAAGUCAGGGGUGAAAUCCUGGAGCUCAACUCCAGAACUGCCUUUGAUACUGAAGAUCUUGAGUUCGGGGAGAGGUGAGUGGAACUGCGAGUGUAGAGGUGAAAUUCGUAGAUAUUCGCAAGAACACCAGUGGCGAAGGCGGCUCACUGGCCCGGUACUGACGCUGAGAUACGAAAAGCGUGGGGAGCAAACAGGAUUAGAAAACCCC
rnacentral:rRNA from 1 species